rnacentral:rRNA from 1 species
GAUGAACGCUGACAGAAUGCUUAACACAUGCAAGUCAACUUGAAUUUGGGUUUUUAACUUAGGUUUGGGUGGCGGACGGGUGAGUAACGCGUAAAGAACUUGCCUCACAGCUAGGGACAACAUUUGGAAACGAAUGCUAAUACCUAAUAUUAUGAUAAUAGGGCAUCCUAUAAUUAUGACAGCUAUAAGCGCUGUGAGAGAGCUUUGCGUCCCAUUAGCUAGUUGGAGAGGUAACGGCUCACCAAGGCGAUGAUGGGUAGCCGGCCUGAGAGGGUGAUCGGCCACAAGGGGACUGAGACACGGCCCUUACUCCCACGGGAGGCAGCAGUGGGGAAUAUUGGACAAUGGACCAAGAGUCUGAUCCAGCAAUUCUGUGUGCACGAUGAAGUUUUUCGGAAUGUAAAGUGCUUUCAGUUGGGAAGAAAGAAAUGACGGUACCAACAGAAGAAGUGACGGCUAAAUACGUGCCAGCAGCCGCGGUAAUACGUAUGUCACGAGCGUUAUCCGGAUUUAUUGGGCGUAAAGCGCGUCUAGGUGGUUAUGUAAGUCUGAUGUGAAAAUGCAGGGCUCAACUCUGUAUUGCGUUGGAAACUGUAUAACUAGAGUACUGGAGAGGUAAGCGGAACUACAAGUGUAGAGGUGAAAUUCGUAGAUAUUUGUAGGAAUGCCGAUGGGGAAGCCAGCUUACUGGACAGAUACUGACGCUGAAGCGCGAAAGCGUGGGUAGCAAACAGG